GGAGUGGCUUGGAUGGUCGCGAUAGAAGGAUUCUUCUGUCGAGGAAAGUCCGGGCUGCACAGGACAGGGCGCCGGAUAACGUCCGGUAAGAGUGAUCUUGGGACAGUGCCACAGAGAAUAGACCGCCAACCAUCUUUGUUGAUCGUUGGUAAGGGUGAAACGGUGCGGUAAGAGCGCCCCGCCCCGGCUGGUAACAGACGGGGGCACGGUAAACCCCGCCCGCAGCAAGGCCAAAUAGGAAGGCGCCAAGCGUGGUCCACGUUUGCUUUCGGGUAGGCUGCUUGAGCCUGUCAGUAAUGGCAGGCCUAGAUGAAUGACCAUCGCUCUGUUUGUCGCAAGGCAUACAGAGAGACAAAACCCGGCUUAUCGAGCCACUCCGUAU
rnacentral:RNase_P_RNA from 1 species